AUUGGACAAUGGGCGAAAGACUGAUCCACCCAUGCCGCGCGUGUGAAGAAGGACUUCGGGGGGUAUAACACUUUUAUCUGGGGGGAAGGGCAGUAAGUUAAUACAUUGGUGUAUUGACGUUACCGACAGAAUAAACGCCGGACAACUUUGUGCAGGCAGCAGCGGUAAUAAGAAGGGUGCAGGCGUUAAUAGGAAGUACUGGGCGUAAAGCGCGCGUAGGUGGUUUGUUAAGUUGGAAGUGAAAGCCCCGGGCUCAACCUGGGAACUGCUUUCAAAACUAGCAAGCUAGAGUAUGGCAGAAGGUGGUGGAAUUUCCUGUGUAGCGGUGAAAUGCGUAGAUAUAGGAAGGAACACCAGUGGCGAAGGCGACCACCUGGGCUAAUAAUGACACUGAGGUGCGAAAGCGUGGGGAGCAAAC
rnacentral:rRNA from 1 species